UCCAGUCUUUAAACGUAAUAGCACUAAGGAAAUGAUUUUUCGGUUUCUUACAUUUUGGAUAGUUUUAAAUGUGAUUUUGCUUCAAAAUUUGGCAUGCCAAGCAUUUUUCCAGCAACGUUAUUUUAAGGAAAUACUACAUAGGCAUGGGGAAAUGUGCCCCAGUAACACAUUACGACAACAGAAAGAGGCAUCUGUAGUAAGGUGUGGCAUGCUCCUCCCUACAGACCAGGGAUCGCUUGUAUUUACAUUUGAUAACAAGGAACACAUUUGUCGAACUUACAGAGAGGAAGAUUUUAACGGAUGCGUUUUCCAAACUUGUUCUAAUUGUAGGUCAUAUAAAGUUGAUCAGUCUAAGGGGAACGUCACCGUCAAUGAGGUUUCCUGUGACAAUAACAGCAAUCUUCUAAAACAUCCGAGCGAUUGUACAAAGUUCAUCCAAUGUUCCAAUGGGAUACCUGUAGAAAUGAACUGUUCACCAGGACUCCAUUUUGCGGUGUCCAUUAACACUUGUGUUUUGCCAGUUAACGCGGGAUGUGAAAUAUAGACAAAUACAACUAAAAUAACGAACAUCGACAAUUAUGGGCGGUUCAGACUAUAAUGUUAAUCCGUGUUUCAAACUCACGUAACUGUGUCACUUAACGUUCACAUUUGUAUCUAUAUAUCUUUAUUGUUUAUUGUAUCAUUUAAAGGGUCACCAACACUAAUAAUAUUAUUUAAAAAUAUUCUAGCAGCAAUGAUAUCAGUAUUUAGGUAUACACUACAAACAUCACUGCGUAUUAUUAUAUUAAUUUGAAUGUCCAGGAUAGGGUUCAAUACCUCCACACAUAAAUAAGGAGAUGAUAAAUAUUAUUCUAACACGAUUAUUGCAAAGAUCAAAGGAAUACCGCGGUUAUUAUUCAGCGAUAUACCUUCUUACGUAAUAACUGAUUAUGAAAAAAUGAUACACAUCUCACUUGUACUUCGUGUUUUGCUAAUACAACAAUAAAGUUGAUAACUGUU